rnacentral:rRNA from 1 species
CCUACGGGUGGCAGCAGUGGGGAAUAUUGGACAAUGGGCGAAAGCCUGAUCCAGCCAUGCCGCGUGUGUGAAGAAGGCCUUCGGGUUGUAAAGCACUUUCAGUGAGGAAGAAAGCCUUGGGGCUAAUACCCUCGAGGAAGGACAUCACCCACAGAAGAAGCACCGGCUAACUCCGUGCCAGCAGCCGCGGUAAUACGGAGGGUGCGAGCGUUAAUCGGAAUUACUGGGCGUAAAGCGCGCGUAGGCGGUCUGAUAAGCCGGUUGUGAAAGCCCCGGGCUCAACCUGGGAACGGCAUCCGGAACUGUCAGGCUAGAGUGCAGGAGAGGAAGGUAGAAUUCCCGGUGUAGCGGUGAAAUGCGUAGAGAUCGGGAGGAAUACCAGUGGCGAAGGCGGCCUUCUGGACUGACACUGACGCUGAGGUGCGAAAGCGUGGGUAGCAAACAGGAUUAGAUACCCUUGUAGUC